rnacentral:snRNA from 1 species
AGAGCAUUUCCAUCAAUAGUCUC